rnacentral:rRNA from 1 species
UACGGGGGGGGCAAGCGUUGUUCGGAAUUACUGGGCGUAAAGGGCGCGUAGGCGGUCAGAUAAGUCAGCUGUGAAAACCUCGGGCUUAACCCGAGGCCUGCAGUUGAAACUGUUUGGCUGGAGUGUGGGAGAGGAGAGUGGAAUUCCGAGUGUAGAGGUGAAAUUCGUAGAUAUUCGGAAGAACACCAGUGGCGAAGGCGACUUACUGGACAUCUGUUGACGCUGAGGUGCGAAAGCGUGGGGAGCAAACAGG